AUGCUUUGGAAGAAGCUUGUACAGUUUGGGAAGGGGUUUUUUGAGAGAAAAGAAGAAUCUACUUCAACCGAUAUGCCCUUAGGCACGGCCAUGCAUAACAUAGAAAUCACACGUAGAAGGGGUGGGCAAUUAGCUAGAGCAGCAGGUGCUAUAGCGAAACUCAUUGCAAAAGAGGGUAAAUCGGCCACUUUAAGAUUACCAUCUCGGGAGGUCCAUUUAGUAUCCCAAAACUGCUUAGCAACAGUCCGACAAGUGGGUAAUGUUGGGGUGAACCAAAAUUUUUGGGUAGAGCCGGAUCUAAGUGUUGGCUAG
rnacentral:rRNA from 1 species